GGGGAAUAUUGCACAAUGGGGGAAACCCUGAUGCAGCCAUGCCGCGUGUGUGAAGAAGGCCUUCGGGUUGUAAAGCACUUUCAGUGGGGAGGAAGGGGCGAUGCCUAAUACGCAUGGUCAUUGACGUUACCCACAGAAGAAGCACCGGCUAACUCCGUGCCAGCAGCCGCGGUAAUACGGAGGGUGCAAGCGUUAAUCGGAAUAACUGGGCGUAAAGCGCACGCAGGCGGUUAGAUAAGUCAGAUGUGAAAUCCCCGGGCUCAACCUGGGAACUGCAUUGGAAACUGUCUGACUAGAGUCUUGUAGAGGGGGGUAGAAUUCCAGGUGUAGCGGUGAAAUGCGUAGAGAUCUGGAGGAAUACCGGUGGCGAAGGCGGCCCCCUGGACAAAGACUGACGCUCAGGUGCGAAAGCGUGGGGAGCAAAC
rnacentral:rRNA from 1 species